CUCUUCUUGAAUAUAUUAUGAUGUAUGGCCUGCCCACUGAGUGUUGAAGGGCCGCGGUAUUUUGACCGUGCAAAGGUAGCAUAAUCAUUAGUCUUUUAAUUGUAGGCUGGAAUGAAUGGUUUGACGAGGUGUAAACUGUCUUUAAUUUAUUUGUUGAAUUUAAAUUUUAGGUUAAAAUGCCUAAAUUUUUUUUUGGGACGAGAAGACCCUAUAGAGUUUUAUAUGUUUUUAUUUUUUUGUGUGAUAAUUUUAAAUUUAAGAAUUUAUUUUGUUGGGGUGAUGGAAAGAUUUAAUUAACUCUUUUUAUUUUUUUUAUAUUUAUUUAUAUGUAUUUGAUCCAUUUUUGUUGAUUAUAAGGCUAAAUUACC
rnacentral:rRNA from 1 species